rnacentral:rRNA from 1 species
AUGCACGCUGGCGGUAUGCUUAACACAUGCCAGUCGAACGGGGUGCAUAGUCACCUAGUGGCGGACGGGUGAGUAACGCGUGAGAAUCUGGCCUCAGGUCCGGGACAACCACGGGAAACGGUGGCUAAUACCGGAUGUGCCAUAUUGGUGAAAGAUUAAUUGCCUGAGGAUGAGCUCGCGUCUGAUUAGCUAGUUGGUGGGGUAAAGGCUUACCAAGGCGACGAUCAGUAACUGGUCUGAGAGGAUGACCAGUCACACUGGGACUGAGACACGGCCCAGACUCCUACGGGAGGCAGCAGUGGGGAAUUUUCCGCAAUGGGCGAAAGCCUGACGGAGCAAUACCGCGUGAGGGAGGAAGGCUCUUGGGUUGUAAACCUCUUUUCUCAGGGAAGAAGAAUGACGGUACCUGAGGAAUCAGCAUCGGCUAACUCCGUG